rnacentral:rRNA from 1 species
GAUGAACGCUGGCGGCGUGCCUAAUACAUGCAAGUCGAGCGAACAGAUAAGGAGCUUGCUCCUUUGACGUUAGCGGCGGACGGGUGAGUAACACGUGGAUAACCUACCUAUAAGACUGGGAUAACUUCGGGAAACCGGAGCUAAUACCGGAUAACAUAUUGAACCGCAUGGUUCAAUAGUGAAAGGCGGCUUUGCUGUCACUUAUAGAUGGAUCCGCGCCGUAUUAGCUAGUUGGUAAGGUAACGGCUUACCAAGGCAACGAUACGUAGCCGACCUGAGAGGGUGAUCGGCCACACUGGAACUGAGACACGGUCCAGACUCCUACGGGAGGCAGCAGUAGGGAAUCUUCCGCAAUGGGCGAAAGCCUGACGGAGCAACGCCGCGUGAGUGAUGAAGGUCUUCGGAUCGUAAAACUCUGUUAUCAGGGAAGAACAAAUGUGUAAGUAACUGUGCACAUCUUGACGGUACCUGAUCAGAAAGCCACGGCUAACUACGUGCCAGCAGCCGCAGUAAUAC